CCAUCUGAAGGUGUUGACCUCAGCCCAACCAGUUCACUGAUCUUCUGGAGCUGUUGGGUUAUUGCACUAAUUAAAAGCAGACCCGUUUUUAGUCUUUUUAACCUUGGAUGAGUGAACUCGGAAAGAUGUAGCAGACAUUACAAAACAAGACACUACUCCAACCCCUGGUAGGACUGCAGUGACUGCAGCUUCUGAGAGCUAAUUUACAGGAAAUGAAAUCUCUAUGGCAUUUCUGCCUCAUUUCUGAACAAGCCGACCCCGUUCCUCUUCCUUUUCAGAGCAGGAACAACGUGCAGAGCUGUACAUACAUUAGUACCAUAAGCUAUGUUUUUGUUCAUUGUUAAGGCAGUUGAAAAUACAGUGCUUCCCACAGCUUCCUCUGUAAAGCCACCAGCUGACUACCAGCGAGCGCUCCGUGUGAAGAUUGAACUCCUCCACAUUCCUCCCUUGGGAGCAAGGACAGAGUGAAAUGAAGCUCAGAGAUGUCCACUUUCUGCACUCGGUGGCUGGCUACAACAUAAGUCUUCGCACAGGAUUUAGAGGUGAAAGAAGUUGCGCUCGAAGCUUCAUUACACCGCUUUGAUGCUGAAGUAAGAAUUCCCACAGCGAAGAUGGACAGAGCAAGACUGACAGAACCAGCCACAUUUUCAUUAUUAAUAUCAGAACUGCACGCAGUCGGAAAGCAGAAAGGACUGAAGAAUUUCAUAGCCCAAAUACCUACAGAAUAAUAAUAAUAAAAUCCCAGAGUGUCACAGUACAGCCCAAUGUGCCUUUUGGAAAUGCUGCCAUUCCAGAUAGCAGGGGAAACACAAAUCCAGCCCAGUUACCAUGGAAAUGUACAGUAUACCUCCAAAAUGCAAAGCCACCUGGCUGACCCAGAGAACUUCUUUGAGAUGAGCAUGGUAGCCCAAUAGCAAACAGCUGUCAAACAUCUCUGUGAUGACAGACUGCAUGGAAAGCAGAAGCCAGCACCACCAUCAGCUUAGUGAGCUGGAGAUGACCCAGCAAUCCUUUUCUUACACAACCCACCAAAGCUACUGCUACAACCAGUGGAGCUGGUUUUAGCAAGAGUGGAAGAUCUGUGGAGGGAAAGGAAAUGCUCAGAAGCCAAACAAUCUAAUGCAGCAUCUGAAAUGGUGCUGCAUGUCUUUUCAGUUAAAUGACUCUCAAUGCAAUGUUCACCCAGGGGUGUAUUUGUUGAUGGGACAGAGACUUAGGAAAAUGGCACUGGAAAGAAAUCAUCUCCUUGAGCAUCCUGCGGUGCCCAGCAGGAGAGGCCCCAACUGCCUCGUGCCUCGAAGUGGGCGCUGCUGUGCCCACCAGGAACAGGGCAGCCAUCUCAGCGCCAAAGCCAUCCCCACCUCCCACCGGCUGGAUCCAAGCCUGAUCCUGGGCAGCAGUUACACGGUCAGGGCUGCUCUGCUCAGAAACCAACACGAGACAUUACAAAAGGAUUUUUCUGAAGAUGUAAAACAGCACCCAGGGAACAACUCAGGAAGGAGGCAUCGAGAACUAAAAUGCUGGAAUUUGGGAAAGUCUCCAAAACCUCAGAAUUUCAUAUAUAUUUGGUAUAAGGCCUGAAGAUUGUUAUAAGAAUACCUGCCAGCUUUUGAAAAGUAUGAAUAGAGACAACUGGAGAGGGAAUAAGUGCCUGCCUUACAAUUCUGCUGGACUAUACCGGGCUCUGAGCCAACUUCUAAAUGGAAGUCAAUGGCAUUGCAUAGGAUGUAAGCCAGUGCCGACUUCAUUCUUGAAAAUUUCAAGAAAUUGCAGGGUAGGUAAAAAUAGAUUCUGUCUUUGGUAAUCUUUGCACGUGUACUUGGUGUUGCAGAAGAAUGGGAAAAUAUCUGAGGGGAAUAUCUGAGAGACCGAAUCACUCCAUACCUGAAGUUUAC
ensembl:lncRNA